ensembl:lincRNA Gm45018 predicted gene 45018
GCCGUUCACUGGCAGCUUCUUGCUAAGAACCUGAGGCAGACAGCAAACUCAAAAGUGGAGUCUCAAGCGUCCUCCCAAAAUUUGUAGAGGAUCCAAGUUUGUUUCCCAAUUCCCUUACAAGCUCAGUUUCAGAACUAGGCAUCAGUGGGUGGCAGAAGAGGCAGCCCACAGAGGCCAGACAGUGAGGCGCCUGGGGAAGACCUUGGGACACGGCACAACCAAUUCUGGAAGGACUCAGCUGGGGCCCAUUGGAAUGAGUACAGAACAGUUCCUGAGGCCAACUGGGCGGUUGCUGUCAGGUGAUCAAAAAACUGAUACGACUUUGUCAAAAGUUCCAACGGCUGGGUGUGUUGGCACACACUUUUAAUUCCAGCAUUCUGAAGGCAGCGGCAGGUGGAUUUCCUGGCUUACAAGAACCUCAAAUUCAAUCAGUGUCCUGCUGUUCAAAGGUAUUUUGAAAUGUGCCAAAUCUUAAUUGACGUGGAAGUGCCUGGAACCAGAGUUAAUACCUGGAGCAACGGGGAGCCCAAAUUAUGGAGGAACCCAGGAACCUGUGGCCGCUGGUGGCUACAGGUGGUGCCCGACGAGUGGCCUGAAAGCGGAAAGAAGGACUCGGGGUACACUGUUUUGGUGAGGCUCCACAGAAAACAGGAGAUGUAUUCUGCAUGGUCAGUUACUUCCAUACAGACUCACCUUCAGCAAAGCUCAGAUGGCAGUUAUUCUUCGAUAUGAAGAGACACAUUGAGUGCAUAUUGUGGCUUUGGUCUGAAUAAGAAAAAGGAACCCAGUAACCUGUGGUUGCUGGCAGCUACAAUGUAGAACUCUCAGCUAGUUUUGCAUCGAGCCUGCCUAGAUGCUACCCUGCUGCCACCAUGAAGAUGAUGGACUGAACCCUUGAACUUGUGAGCUAGCCCCAAUUAAAUGUUGUCCUUUAUAAGACUUGCCUUGGUCAUGGUAUCUGUUCACAGUUGUAAAACCCUAACUAAGACAUCAAUGAAGAUGAAGGUUAUGAGACCAACUAAGCAUUGCAAAUCUAGAUAUGCAAACCACCAGUUACUGUUUGUUGUGUCUUAUUUAUACUCCCUCCAAACAACAUGUGUCCUCCCACGGGUCUUGCCUCAGCCAAACACUAGAUGAGUCUGUCUUAGCAAAACUCCGUGUGAGUCUAUGUCAG